UACGAACUGUGCAAACGUUAUUCGGAAUCACUGGGCUUAAAGGGUGCGUAGGCGGUUUGUUAAGUAGGGUGUGAAAGCCCCCGGCUCAACCGGGGAAUUGCGCCCUAAACUGGCGGACUAGAGUGAGAUAGGGGUGUGCGGAACUUCCGGUGGAGCGGUGAAAUGUGUUGAUAUCGGAAGGAACGCCGGUGGCGAAAGCGGCACACUGGGGCUCAACUGGACGCCUGAGG
rnacentral:rRNA from 1 species